GACGAACGCUGGCGGCGUGCUCAACACAUGCAAGUCGAACGGUAAGGCCCUUCGGGGUACACGAGUGGCGAACGGGUGAGUAACACGUGGGUGAUCUGCCCUGCACUUCGGGAUAAGCCUGGGAAACUGGGUCUAAUACCGGAUAGGACCACUGCCUGCAUGGGCGGGGGUGGAAAGCUUUUGCGGUGUGGGAUGGGCCCGCGGCCUAUCAGCUUGUUGGUGGGGUGAUGGCCUACCAAGGCGACGACGGGUAGCCGGCCUGAGAGGGUGACCAGCCACACUGGGACGGAGAGACGGCCCAGGGUCCUACGGGAGGGAGCAGUGGGGACUAUUGCACAAUGGGCGCAAGCCUGAUGCAGCGACGCCGGGUGAGGGAUGACGGCCUUCGGGUUGUAAACCUCUUUCAGCACCGACGAAGCGCAAGUGACGGUAGGUGCAGAAGAAGGACCGGCCAACUACGUGCCAGCAGCCGCAGUAA
rnacentral:rRNA from 1 species